UACGAAGGGGGCUAGCGUUGCUCGGAAUCACUGGGCGUAAAGGGUGCGUAGGCGGGUCUUUAAGUCAGGGGUGAAAUCCUGGAGCUCAACUCCAGAACUGCCUUUGAUACUGAGGAUCUUGAGUUCGGGAGAGGUGAGUGGAACUGCGAGUGUAGAGGUGAAAUUCGUAGAUAUUCGCAAGAACACCAGUGGCGAAGGCGGCUCACUGGCCCGAUACUGACGCUGAGGCACGAAAGCGUGGGGA
rnacentral:rRNA from 1 species